rnacentral:rRNA from 1 species
AUUGAACGCUGGCGGCAGGCCUAACACAUGCAAGUCGAGCGGAUGAAGGGAGCUUGCUCCUGGAUUCAGCGGCGGACAGGUGAGUAAUGCCUAGGAAUCUGCCUGGUAGUGGGGGAUAACGUCCGGAAACGGGCGCUAAUACCGCAUACGUCCUGAGGGAGAAAGUGGGGGAUCUUCGGACCUCACGCUAUCAGAUGAGCCUAGGUCGGAUUAGCUAGUUGGUGGGGUAAAGGCCUACCAAGGCGACGAUCCGUAACUGGUCUGAGAGGAUGAUCAGUCACACUGGAACUGAGACACGGUCCUGACUCCUACGGGAGGCAGCAGUGGGGAAUAUUGGACAAUGGGCGAAAGCCUGAUCCAGCCAUGCCGCGUGUGUGAAGAAGGUCUUCGGAUUGUAAAGCACUUUAAGUUGGGAGGAAGGGCAGUAAGUUAAUACCUUGCUGUUUUGACGUUACCAACAGAAUAAGCACCGGCUAACUUCGUG